GCCUCGGUGGUGCAGUGGUUGAGCACGCGUCCCCGGAUAGGAUGAAAUAAGGGUUCGAUUCGCUCCUGAGGUC